rnacentral:tRNA from 1 species
GGGGAUAUAACUCAGUUGGUAGAGUACUUGCUUUGCAUGCACAAGGACCUGGGUUCAAUCCCCAGCACCA